rnacentral:rRNA from 1 species
UACGAAGGGGACUAGCGUUGUUCGGAUUUACUGGGCGUAAAGCGCGCGUAGGCGGAUAUUUAAGUCAGGGGUGAAAUCCCAGGGCUCAACCCUGGAACUGCCUUUGAUACUGGAUGUCUGGAGAUCGGGAGAGGUGAGUGGAAUUCCGAGUGUAGAGGUGAAAUUCGUAGAUAUUCGGAGGAACACCAGAAGCGAAGGCGGCUCACUGGCCCGAUACUGACGCUGAGGCGCGAAAGCGUGGGGAGCAAACAGG